GACGAACGCUGGCGGCGUGCUUAACACAUGCAAGUCGAGCGGUAAGGCCCUUUCGGGGGUACACGAGCGGCGAACGGGUGAGUAACACGUGGGUGACCUGCCCUCAGCUCUGGGAUAAGCCUGGGAAACCGGGUCUAAUACCGGAUAUGACUCCAUGACGCAUGUUGUGGGGUGGAAAGCCUUGUGCGGCUGAGGAUGGGCCCGCGGCCUAUCAGCUUGUUGGUGGGGUNAUGGCCUACCAAGGCGACGACGGGUAGCCGGCCUGAGAGGCGACCGGCCACACUGGGACUGAGACACGGCCCAGACUCCUACGGGAGGCAGCAGUGGGAAUCUUGCGCAAUGGGCGAAAGCCUGACGCAGCGACGCCGCGUGAGGG
rnacentral:rRNA from 1 species